rnacentral:tRNA from 1 species
UAGCUCAGUCAGUUGAGCGUGGCGCUAACAACGCCAAGGUCGCUGGUUCAAUUCCUGU